rnacentral:rRNA from 1 species
CCUACGGGAUGCAGCAGUGAGGAAUAUUGGUCAAUGGGCGGAAGCCUGAACCAGCCAAGUCGCGUGAGGGAUUAAGGCCCUGCGGGUCGUAAACCUCUUUUGCCGGGGAGCAGAGGUCCGUACGUGUCCGGGCCGGGAGAGUACCCGGUGAUAAAGCAUCGGCUAACUCCGUGCCAGCAGCCGCGGUAAUACGGAGGAUGCGAGCGUUAUCCGUAUGUAUUGGGUUUAAGGGGUGCGUAGGCGGGCAUUUAAGCCGGCGGUCAAAUGUCAGGGCUAAACCCCGGCCUGACGUUGGAACUGGGUGCCUGGAGUGGGCGAGAAGUAUGCGGAAUGCGUGGUGUAGCGGUGAAAUGCAUAG